GAAGUCCUUGUACAGGAGGUACUGGAAGCGUCUUCAAGAGCAAGGCCACCUUCCGAGGCUCCAGCUCUCCUGCCGUCAUGGGACUCUCCCUGCCCCACUUAGUCUCCAGUCACGGGCCUGCUGGGCUGACUGUGGGACUUCAGCUUUUGUUGCUGUUCUGACUACACAUAGGCUUAUAGGUUUUGUUGUGAUAAUCUACCUGGUGCAUGUCAUAGUUGGGGGAUUUCUGGGUACUUAACAGAGAUUCAAGUUGCUGGCCUUACUAUUAGAAAGGUGGCACCUUUUGUUAGUUGUAUAGCCCCUCCCCUCUUCAGCAGAGACACAUUCCUUGACUGUGGAGUUUGUGAGGCAGUGUCAGCGGUGGUGAGUGAGGCCAAAGGAGUAUGGCCUGGUGAUGACGGUGAUGACGAUGGUGACGGAUGCUGAUGACAGCCGCCGCUGAGUUCUGCCAUGUAUUAGGCAAACACUGAGACAUAAUAUUUGUUAUCCAUCCCAUUUAAUCCUCAGAACAACCUGAAGAGUUUGCUUUUAUUGUUGGGUUUGUAGAAGCUGAGGUCUGGGAUGUGAGUGACUUGUUCAAGGCCACUUGCUUUGCUGCAGCCAUCUGAGGCAGAGUCAACAUUAUCACAUCUACCCUGGGAAGAGAUUGCAUGAAAGACAGUUGUCCCAAGUUGCUGCUCUUGGAAACCCCAAUGACGAGAAGAGCCCCAAGACUUAUUGUUUCAGUAUCCAAGGUAAUUUUAUCCAGUGGAAGGAAUCAAUAGGCACAUGCCAGUGGAACUCUGCUUUCCAGAAGAGAAACUCAUGCUUCCUCAGGAACUCUUGAGGGUGGAAGAUGGGUUAGCAGAUGCCUUCAUGACCAAAUCUCCUUUUCAGAUUUCAGUUAUUCCUCUUAGUAAUUUAUCUUGAAGAGGAUUCCAUAGUAAGCCAUUGUGUCUCCUCAAUUUCCAUCAAAUUCAUCAUUUAGGAAAAGACCCAAAGGUUGUCCUUUAACACCGUCGUUCCUCCUCUUGGAUGGCCCUGUUUCUGUAAGACACUUCCAGGGUUCCUAGGCCCUGUGUCAGAGACACCAUCUUAGCUUCUCAUAAUGCUUAAUUCAGCAGAGAAGUAAGGCUGGACUUCUCUAGGGUCCAGGGGCUGGCAGGGACAAUGGAAUGAGUCCCAUGACAGCAGGGGCAUCACUAGGAAGUGAGACAAACAUAAACCACAAACUGCUUGGCAUGCCAUUCUGCCACCUUCCUUGCCUCACAAACUCCACAGUCAAGGAGGUGUCUGUGCCAAAGAGGGGAGGGGCUAUACAACCCAGCACUACCUGGGUUGGUGCUUACUGGGUGACAGUGGGUGACAGCCCCACACACAGAGAUCAUGGCAGUCAGAUCUUCAGGCCCAGACGUGUUUACAGAUUCCAAUCCCAGUGUGACUUUCUGCUAUUUGGACAAAAGGUUGGCGGGUUCUUUGUUGAGUGGGAGAAGGGCACCAGCCUUUCUUCAGGUUGUCAGUUCAGAGGUCCAGUGACAACAAAACAUAGGUUGUCUUUGAAGCUGAGAGAAGGAAAUAGCCUAGCUCGGUUUCUCAGCUUAGUCCCCAACUACUGGCAUAUUAUCAGGGUAAGCGAUAUAAGGGGAGAAUUUAGGGGUUGUAAGUAUUGAAAAGCUUGAGCCCUGAAAAACCUGUAAAAGAAAGCAUUUGGACAGGCGCCAUGCUCUAGGCAAGUGUGGCAAUCAAAUGCCUCCACAACCCCUCUCUGUGGCUCUCUCUUGCUUGUCUUAGAGGCAGUCUUGGAAUUCAUUCUCGGUCUGUGGACAAAUUUCCUGACCUCUCUGAGCCUCAGGUUUCUUCAUCUGUUAAGAACAGUACGACUAAUGAUACCUUCCUGGCGUGAUUGUCAUGGGAACUGAAUGGGAUGACAUGUUAAAGUCAUCCUCACCAGCCCAGCAUAGACGAUGCCCACAGUGAGUGUUGAGAGCCUCUCCUUCCCAAACAGAAAGUCAUCUCCUGACUCCCACUCUGUUUUCCCAGUGCCAUCAGGCCUGCAUCCAUGAGCCAGCGCUGCAGCUGACAGAGUACUGAGGAGGGCAGAGGCAGGCGCACACGCCUUUGACAGCUCUCUGCCAUUCGCAGUGCGUUCUGUCCAAAGGCAAACCCUUCCUCACUUGAGGACGGUGAAUUGGCGAGAACACCCCGAGCUUGCCUGUGACCCUCUCCUCUCCCCUGCCUCUGCUCUGUCUGUUUUCCUCUGUGCACUUUUAGAGCAUUUCAUCUGGAGUGCCUGAAUUCCAUUUUUGGUAUAAUCAUGGCAUUUAGGAAAUGAGGAUAUUCUGCCUCAGGCCCUAAGGACCCUGUGUUGUCUCAGCACACGAAGGCAACAGCAGCCAAGAGAUGAACUUCUGCCUGUGAGAGAAAUUAGCUUGAUAUCUGAAUAUUAGUUUAGUACAAUUAAUUAUUGAAACUACUACUUUAACCUGGGUAGUCCCUGCAGUAUAAUUCGUAAUCAUUUUAGUGCUCAUCUCUGCCAGAUUCAGGCCCUCAGCAAAGAAGUUGUGAGGCCGUUGCACAGCCCUCCCUCGUGGUCUUUCCUUGCUGAUGGAGUGGCCCUGAAAGCAGGCACCGCAGUUUUAUUUUCCCUGGAUUUGCCUAUCAGCUUCCUUCCCAGGAACAUCCUCGUAGCACUACUCUUGGCUUCAUGUUACCUCGUUCUUUUAUGUAAAGGGGUUCAUAUCUGGCUCUGGGUUCCAGAGAGGACAGGCCCUGGGACUUGGCCAUCUCUGGAAGGACUUGGACCCUUCCUCCCUUUGGGCUGGAGGGCAUUGUUCUCAGGUAAACAUUCUUAAGCUCCAAGGUCAGUCGAAGAAAGAAGCUGCCCUAUUGUGCCUUGGGUUAGAUUGGUAAAGCUCAUCAUCCCAAAUUAUCCUGUCAGCCUCCCAGAAAUGGUUCAAAUCUGCAUCUAAGAGCUGUGAGGCCCUGCCCUCCACCCCAGCAGGUACUGCCAUUCACCACCCAUGGACCAGAGGACCUCUUCCUUUUUCUCUAUUACAGAAAACUUUGCCUGCCUUUAAUAUGAAAUCCAGUGAGUCAAGGACUGAGUGAGGGUCAUAUUUCUCAAAUUGGGGUUUAGAGAUCUCUUCAUGGGGCAAGGAACAGGCCUGAAAGGCAUAAGUGUCACUUCUGGGAAGCCAUUCCAGCCACCAGAAAGCAUCACUGAAGGCUGAUUCGGGUGUACCUUCUGCCGGGUCCUGUGCUACACCUGCUGACCACAGUGCAUUUCGGGCACUGGUUUGCUUGUCUGCUGCCUCCCCUGCGUCGAGUCCUUUUACAGUUAAGGCCUUGUUCUGUUCAGGAUUAUGAUGAGGAUUACAUUACAGAUGACAUCAGAGAAAACUGUCCUUGCAUAGUGUAUGAAUUCUGAAGAACUACCAUGUAGAAGAAAGAAGCUGUAAAAGUUCGGUUUAAGUCUUUAAAUAUUGUUAUUUACCUCAAAGGCCUACCACUGUUUUGCCUGAUAGUGAGGCAUAAUGAUAAUUACAAAGAACAUUAGAUAUGCCAGGCAAAGUCAUGGAUGCUGACUUGAUUGCAAGGCUGUGCUUUGUCCCCAACCUCCUAAGUUUCCGAUCCGUGUAGUUAGUAUAAGAGUGACAGGAGCUACCACCUCCUAAAUGCCCACAACUCACUAGCAGUGCGCUAGGGGCUACCCAGGUUAUUUCUAAUUCCCAACCAUUCAAGACAGAU